CAAACACAUUCAGAUAUCUCUUUAUUCGUAUAAAGGUUGGAGUGAGGUAGCGCUUAUUUCCUAUAUAGCUGCUCAUUUUGGAUGCAGUUUUAACAAUCAGGCUAGGGAGGCGGUGAGCGUGGGUAGGCCGGCCAAACCUUCCCUCCACUGGGUCAACCGGCUGCGUAGCCCACCACCGUACUGUCCUACGGCAACGGCCCCAACCUGGGCAGGCGUGCUUUCUGCGACAUGCUCCUGCACAUGGAUGUCUUGGUGAGGUAAAAACUUCUGUUAACUUAACUUAGCUACCUCAACUGAUUGAACUGCAGGGGUUGUGUGCAGUCUGAUGUGGUGCUAGUGUUUGAUUAAUGCAAUUUGGAAGAACUUGUGUAUCUAAAAUUCAAACUCUGCAUUUUGGUGUAUUCUUAUUUAGAAGUUCAGGUCAUCAUAAGUUGCUUCGGUUUAGCUAGUUACUGUUGUAAAAAAGUUCAGCUCGUCAUAUUUGAACAUCGGAAGAAGAGCUGCUAUAGUCUCCUGCUAUAUGCUUGUUAUAUGCCUAAAUAGUACAUGCUCAACCAAAGCAAGUAGUUAUAGUCUUCUGCUAUAUGCUUAAAUAGUACAUUUUUUCUGUAUUCUUGUUCAGAAGUUCAGGUCAUUCAAAGAGAGCAAAUAGUACAGGAUCAACCAAAUAGUGAAAAGUCUACUAGAGUCGAAAAAAUAUAAUGACACAAAAAUGCAACUCUGCACUUUCCUCAAAAUGGUCAUCAUAUUCUUAAGAAGAUCGGGAUUGCACUAUUUGGUUGAGCUAGUACUACCAGACUGAACAAAAUGCAGAGUUGGAUUUUAGAGCCUGGACAUUUUCAGACAUUUUCAAAAGUGGUCAAUUGAACCUGAACCAAAAAGAUUGACCUGAAAUUCGUUUGGGCUAGUUACUACCAGACUGAAAAAAUUGUAAUAGGUGGAUAAGUGGUAUUGUACUAUUUUCUAUUGUGUGGUAAUGCUCGUACCCCAUGGCCAUGGAAGGUUCAGAUGUUGUGCUCUUCUUUUCUAGCUAAUUCAUGUUCUAUUUUGUAACUUUAAUGAUAUUCUAUACACUGAUGGCGAGAGUUCAACCAUGGCUAUACGCCAAGUUCUACUAUGGCUAUAUGUCGGCCAUCGUGAAGUCCUACUAUAGCUAUAUGCCAAGUUUAAUUAUGGUUGUAUGCGUGUGCUUCCAGGCUACUAUUGAACAUGUCUUGGCCUUCAUUUUUACGGGUUAUAGUCUCCUGCUAUAUGCUUGCUUUUGCUAUCAGCAUGUUCAUGCAAGUGCCUCUGAAUAAUCUAAAAUUUAAACUUAAACCUAAAACUGAACUUCUACCUCUUUGCUACAGGUGCGGUCGUCGGAGUCCUUUAAGCGCUUGCACUAGUGCUUCUAACUUGUCCAUGAAGGCACUGCAUGGUGUGCCACCUCCCGUCUGCCGCUGCAGCUGCCAUGUGUCCUCGCGACCUCUGCGGCCAGUCACCAACGCCCUAUGAGUGCGCCCUAAGUGUGGCAUGGGGAACAUGCUAAUGUGUGUGUUUCUGCACUGGUGUGUGCGUGCAUGCUCACGUUUAUGCGUGCACUGGGUGUGCUGCUUGUGUAUUGUGAUGUAUGUUGUAUAGAUUUUUAUGAAGUUCAUGUUGUGAACCCAACUUAAUUAGAACACAAAAGUUUAGAUCGCAGCUGCUUUGAAUUAUGUAGUGUUUCUAAAUAGCUUCUUGUCUGAAGUUCAGUCGUACAUGUGGGUGCAAGAAAGUUAGUGUCGGAGCCAAAAAAACUGACUUUGAGCAACUGUUGGGUAUUUAUAUAAAACAUUGUGUGUAGCAAUUCAUUGUGUUUAUUGAAAAAUGAAAAGACAGAAGUUCACCAUGCAAAACUUUCACAGUCCAAU
rnacentral:lncRNA from 1 species